CUCACUCUCUCUCUUUUUAUCUUUGCUUCUCUCUUUUAUCUUCCAUCUAUCUGCCCAGGAGUCCAAGACCAUCCAACUCUUUCAUCCUUGACUUGAUGGAACCCAUGGAUUCUAGAUCGAUCGAGGCCCAGGUCCAUCGGUGAUUAAGCUGCUUCGGUUUGGUUGGAUAAUCGUUGCAGAUCUGGAGAUGUCAAGCGACCAGAGCCACCGCACUCUCCUGUGUGACUUCCUUCUUUUCAUGCUGGGCAGAAAAAGACAGCGACGGAUGAGAUAAUAAAAGAGAGACCAAGAGAACUGGAGACUCUGUUCAUAAGCUGGGAACAGUGCUUCAACUUCAUUAGGAUGGUUUGUCCCUUAGCUCCUACUGUUUCGAGUAGUGAGAAUCUGAUUGGCACUUUUUCUCUCUUAUUUGGAAUCAAGACAGAUCAUAAAAGCAGAAAUUGAUAUCCGCAGAGAUGAGGCAGUGCUGGACCGUAAGAUGCGUGGCUGGAUCUGUUCCUCUCCUGGCGAAAGAGGUCUCCAAGCCAUAUGUACACCUACAUCAACUCUUCCAGAUUAUCAACUCAGCCACCAAGAUCAACAGAGAUAAAAGAGCUUGGUAGAGUAUAGCCCAACAAUUUGAAGUAGGAGGUGAAUGAGAGCGAUUGCUACCAAGACCCCAGAAUUUCUAAGAUCUGUGUUUGAGGUCAGUUUUUUUUUUGGUGUUAUUGAUGACUAUAGUUGUUUUAGUUUUUCGUUAUCCCAAUAGAUUAAAGCUUUGUGUUUUGAAUUACACUUGCCUAUGAGCUGUGUGUUUUUAGGAUUACACUCGGAUAGAUAGAUUCACGAGUGCGUUAGGUUUGCUUGGUUUGUUACUUUUGAAGUUUUAGUGAUGUUUGAAUAUUGUGAAUCAAAUAUAAUCAUUUUUUGGCCUUUUUCUAUGGAUUAGUAGGUGUGGUUCUGAAUUUUUAGUUGUAAGCAUCUGCCUUGUACCAAGAAAGCAAACUCUCUCAAAGUGGGGGACUACAGACCUAUCAGUUUGAUAACAAGCUUGUACAAGAUUAUUGCACAGGUGUUAGCUUGGACAUUGAUAAAGGUUCUAAGUGAUACGAUUUCCUGUGAUCAGGGUGCAUUCAUAAAAGGAAGACGUAUAUUAGAUGAAGUUUUGGUGGCUAACAAGGUAGUUGAUGAGACAAGGAAGAAGAAAAGAGAGGAGCUGGUCUUUAAAAUUGAUUUUGAGAAAGCUUAUGAUCAUGUAGAGUGGAAUAUCUAGGAAAUCCAUUUUAGGUGGCAACCCAAAAGGAGCCUUGUUUUGGAACCCAGUAGUAGAGAGAGUUGAGAAGAGAUUGGAGGGUUGAAAAAAGCUUUUCUAUUAAGAGGGGUUAGACUGACAUUGAUUCAAGCAGUUCUAAGCUGCCCUCCAACUUAUUAUUUAUCUCUAUUUCAAAUUCCGGUGGGAGUCGCAAAGAGGUUAGAAUCUCUUUCUUUUGGGAUGGAGUUGGACAGGGCAAGAAAGACCAUCUUCUUAAUUAGUAGUGGACUAGACCCAAUCUUUGCGCCUGCAAAGUUUAUUUGGAACUCCAAGGCCCCUACUAAGGUAAAAAUAUUGGGUUGGCUUGUGGCAUACGAGAGGAUGAAUACUUGUGAUGUUCUUCAAAGAAGAAGACCAAGCUGUUGUUUUUCCCCUCAUUGGUGCAUUUUGUGCAAAGCUCAAGGGGAAAGUGUUGAUCAUGUCUUUACGCAUUGUGAAGUUGUUAACUUUUUAUGGAAGAAAUUAUUUAGGGAGGCAAAAGUGGUCUGGACAGCUCCAUCAGAGAGGAAUGAUUUGUUUGAAAAAAAUCUAUCAGCUUUGGAAAAGGGAAUAAAGCCAGAAUUCUUUGGGGCUGUGGGGUGUUAGCGGUAGUCUGGGUGGUCUGGAUGGAAAGAAAUAGAAGAAUAUUUGAAACCUAAAGUUCAACCUUUCAUUUCUUCCACAAUCCGCAAAUACCAAAACUGAUAUUGCUUUUUUCUUUACUUGUGUGUGCAAGGAUGUAUAAUGAACGACAGAAGUCACAUAAAGAAACUGUUAAGACUACAAUCCCUAGUAGUGAUGAAAUUACUUUGAUUUCAGUUGAGGUUGAUCAAGAAAGUCCUGAAGAGCUUGACAAUAUUGAAAGAAACACAGUGCAGCUGAACCAUGAGGUUCAUGCACUUGAGAAAAGGAAGGAGAGAAAAGAGAUGUGAGAUAAAUGAUAGAUACAGGUUGUAACUGUAGGAUGGGUACUUCUCUGGAUAAAAACAAGCUUAUGAGUGAUGCUUUGAAGUCUUGGGGGGGGGUGGGGUUCAGACUUUGUCCCUUAUGUUAUCCCUUAGGAGCAUGUUGAAUCUGCUAACCACAAUCUUCAGCCGAUUUCAUCUGUGUAUCAACGCGAAUAUGGGUGCAUGUUCUGUGGUGAAUGUUUUUAAGGCACUGUAAUGUUUAAGCAUUACAUUGAGGGUUCAAACAAGGUUAGUCACUAUGUUUUCUGGGUUUGAUAAGAAGGUUUGGGAUAAAGGAAGUGGUCACUCUCUCUUAACAGAUGAACAUUUGAGUUCGCCUUUUGCUGAUAAGUUUAAAAAGGAAAAGAAAUGGUAGAAGGAUGUGUGAUAACAUUUGGAGUAGAUGGAAAUCAGAAGCUCAUACCAAACUUGCAAGUGAAGGCAAUGCAAAUGAGCUUGAUUUUUUUGUUAGGGAAGGGCUCAAGCGUGACAAUGGGACGAUGAUGUGGUCUACUGACGCACAAUCUGAAGCAAAGUUAUGGCAAUGGCUCAUUCCUUGUUAUUGUGCAACAAAGAAGCCUAUUAAUUUUCAUAGUGAAGCAUUCGACAAAAUGAGUGACCCAUUACCUCAGGUAUUCAUUACCAUCAUUUCCGGUCCUCGAGCAGCUUUUGAUGGGGUAUGGUGUGACUUAUUAAGCUCUAUAUUGUGUUCUAUAUUGCUUUCAAGAAUACUUUGCUUCCUGAUGAGUCAUUUGGGAUAAUGAUUAAAAGUAUGCAGGUUGAAGGUGCAGCCAAUAUGUCUCGGUUCUGGACCAUGAUGUUUAAAAGCCAAUAUGCAGAAGUAAAGCUUGUGACAAAUCCUAUAGCUAUUUGCUGUUCAAUCCCAUAGUUACAGCAAAAUUCUACCAUAAUCAACAAGAAUGAAUAGUUUGGAAUGUACCUGUGGUUCAGCAACCUCAUGACUAGUCUUUCACAAAAGCAGUGAAUGAGGUCGAUGGCUUUAUUUGUGCUCUCCAUCUGUAUUAAUAUGUCGGCCUGUGGCAAAACAUACGUUAAAAGUAUGUAACAAACUCCUAUUAUUAUGUUGUCGUUAAAAAGGAAAAUAAUAAUCAGUACCCGCAGUAGGGCCUCUUGAGGUUGACCAACAUUGAGGUACUCAACGAUCUGUUCCUCAUAAUUCUUGUUGAUUUCCUUUAUAUUUUCUCGAAGAUCAGCAAUUGAGUUCAAUACCCGAUUGAGUGCAGAUAGCCUAAUUUACAAUGAGAAUGGACCAAUGAGAAAGAGAGUAGCAAUUUAAAAUCAAACUAAAAUCUAGGAAGUGAGAUAACAGUAGGAAACAUACAACUUGCUCAAUUUACGCUCUUCCAAAUUGCCAAUAAAACAGCUG